rnacentral:lncRNA from 1 species
UGCCCGUGAACACCCCUCAGGGUCCUUUACAGCUGCCUCUCGAACCUUCUUCUCCGUUAGCGGUGAUAGGUGUUCGCCCCUGACGCAGAUGACGACCUUUUCCUCAUCGGCUUCUUCUACGGGCCCUGUAGUGGACAGCCGCUGGCGUGACAGUGCGUCAGCGACAGUGAUCCUGCUGGCAGGGGCGCUCGUCACUUCGUAGACGUACGGUAGCAUUCGAGCCUACCACCUAGCAACAGGUGCUCCCGCCCAGUCUGAGAACUUAGGCGAGGAGCGUGUUCAUCACGGACUGGCCAGUCCGGAGUGUUAAACGUCGCCCUCAGAGGUAGACGUUCCACCGCUCCAUUGCUUGCACGGCACUGAGGGCCUCACGGUCGGACAAAGAGCACCGCUCGUCAGGACAAAGCACUGAGCCGUCAGGACAGCUGUGACAUGAUGGCACCAGCACCCAGCAGUGCUAUCAAAUGAAUGAUUCGGAUGCGCGUGGCCGUGACGUCACCACUGUCGGUAGGUCUCGGUUUAAGGGCGUCAGAACCGGGCUGCUCGGUACCAUUUUUGAUGGUCUGGAACCUUGACUCUUCCCCCAUCCACUCGAACAGCACUCCUUCCGUAGAAUCACAGCAAGUUGUCGGAUGUAAGCGCAGACUGGGAUGGAGCGAUUCGACCAGCAAGUCAGCGAGAGGAAACUUCUGAGCUCCCUAACAAGUUGUGAAGGAGAUUCUGGCAAGCAGAGUCUGUCGAGACCAGGCCGGAGGUGAUUUGCAGAAAUCGUAUCAACUCACCGUGCGAGAUGAACGCUGAUGUUCCUGCUCUCCGGAUGGGGUUCCAGUUGCUCACAUGCCGACCGGAGAUCGAUGUUGCUGUAGACUCUGCCAUGAAGUCGAGCCUGGUACUCUUCGAUUGUCGAAAGAGGAUAUAUCUCAGCCACAAUAUGUGAGUUGGGCCACCUGAUGUCAACGCUGCCCGUUGAAUUUGCGAGAGAAGACCUGCGGGUUCACCCAUGAGGACGCUUCAAUCUUCUCCACGAUGUCUUCCGCUCCUCCUGCACCUCAUCUCGAACAGAGAGCAAAAGACGGCGCAGCUUGUAGUCCGUGGGCUUAGGGACGAGGAUGGGACAUUUGGGACGAGGAUGCUGUAAUGCUGGUAGCCAUUGAUGGUCGGGAGAAUCGCAUCCCCCUCCUCUUGUAUGGUGAAGACCUCACCUGAUGUUGGGAAAUGGUGACACCCAGCUUUGCAUCAGACCCAGGCCUGUGAUGGCUUCCGCAGCGGCCAUGUAUCCACCAGGAAGAGGCUGGCAUCCACCGACUGGUACCGGGCUGUGGCACGCAGACGUCGCAGAGUAUUUACCUGUCACGCUGAAAUGCAUUCUCCCGAACCUGAGGAGGUUGGAUGUGGAUGGCUCGUAAGUGCAUCCCUAGAGACGGCAGACGUACUCUGCACUAAAGUCUCAAGGUCGAGCAGGUUUCACCAGCAUCCACCGUAAGUGUCAUCGCUUGCCUACGCCUCUCUGCCUCCAGGAUGACAGGGCCGGUCACCUUACUUACUGCAGGUGUUUACCUUGCACUGCAACACAUGAAACGCCAUGGUGGCCUUCUUCACUCGUGUUAACUUCCUCUUUCCGACUGCAGCAUAGUGACUUCCUUCCACAGACGCGUCAGGUCACUCGUCUGGCAGGACACUGAGGGGCCCUGGCUGUUGGCAUGGUCAGCGAGCCCCUAGCUCCCGCAUGGCCUUCUACAGAUGCUGGGUGUUCUGUCAACCGCGGCUGUCGGCUGAUAUUAGCCACUGCGUUGUGUUCAUGACGAGCCAUCAGACGACUGGAGGAUUGAACGCUCGUAGGCUUCACACAAAUCGAGCACCUUCUCCAGGGUGAGGGCACCGUCUUGCAGGAACUUCGCUAGAUGAUGAUGCAGGAUCUGUUCCACCACGAGGUAUCUGAUCGUCUUAUCUUCAAUCGUCCUGAAGUUGUUGCUCUUGUUCUCCGCGGGUCGGCUCAUGGCCGGCCGUAGCCCAACGGCUCUCGGUGACUGAGGUAGCCGCGGCUGAAGGCCGCCACGACACCGCCGUCCCAAAGCUGCGUAGGGUCCGAUCAUAUGUUUCCGAGUAGUUGGAGCCUCGCUCCGGCCAAGCAUGGGCACCCGAGCAACACGCGCUCCGGUGUGUCCGGACCCUCGCGGCACACCAGGCAGCGCGCCACUGCACUGGGCAGGCCAGGUCGCUGCACUGUGGACACUCGCGCUCGGGGUGGCGUCCGAUCCUGCGCAGAUAACUCUACGAGUGGCUCCAGUGUCCCGCCCGCAGCUGGUGGACGUUAACCGCCUCGUCCCGAGACACCAGAAGCACCGGCAUCGGCAUCCGGUCUCCCAUAAUGUUUUUUGAAGAUGCUGUCUGUCCAGCUGCGAUGCCAUGCCUUGGUGGCGGAGCGGCCAAGGCUGACAGCCUUCACGAAAUUAAUUCGUAUAUGAUUGUCCAAUUCAAUUGUCCAAUUCAAACAAUCAGCCUUUACGAAGCAGCGGACGUCCAUCGGGACGGCGGCUUGCGACAUGCUGGAGGCCACUUUAGCCAGCACGUCCACCCUUUCGUUGCCGGGUAUUCCGCAGUGUGCCGGGAUCCACUGUAUGAGGACUCGGAGUCAGGAGCAGUCGCCAUACGGCGGCACCGAGUGCCGUCGGUCGUCUGACUCCCAGCACCACUCGCCAGCGUGGCGAGCGCCGCCUGCGAGUCUGAGCAGACGAUGACUGGGCUCUCCGCCGGGCCGCCUUCCAGCUGUAGCAGCAUCUCCAGAGCCCCGCGGAUCGUCACCAGCUUAGCGCGGGUACUGCUGCAUAUCUUGACUGCGGGGGCUCGGAGCUCGUGUUCCUCGCCCGAGGGGAGGAUUAUCAACGCUUCACUCCCUCUGGCUGAGACACCUCCCUCCGCCGAGCCGUCGCUCCAUACCUACACGGCGUCGUCUGGAAGGGUGGCCAGAUGUUCCUCCGUUUCCGAGCGCCGGACGUCGGCUGGUGCUGUGCGGCUGAUGUGGCUGCCGAUGUCUAAUUUAUCGUCCUGAAGUAACAUAUAUUGGCUAGUGCUCGCAAAGCGGACACAUAUUCUGUAGUAGUCUCACCAGGCUGUUGGCCUCUCCGACGGAAGAUGAGAUGCUCUACCGCAACACUGUUUGGACGCUCUAGGUAGGCCCGUUUACCCGGUUGAUGCCCGCUAAGCAGUGCUGAACUAAACAACCAUGUCUGCUAUUUAUCACUAAAUCACCCGGAGCAGACGAAAGUAUAUCAUGCGGGUAUAACAGAUGUAAAGUCGGUAUCACACCGGGCGUCAGUGUUUCCGAAUAAGUAUGUAAUUAGAAAGUUAACUCUUUGAAACAAAGGUGAUGGCCUGAGGUUAAAUAUUUUGUGCUGUGAGAAAAUCAUUUAAAGCAACCAGUAAUUGGUUGUGUUUUACCUUUUUGUCUAUCAGGAAGUUCGUCAACGGUGUCACAAUAGAAUAAUUUUCACCUUUGACAACGUGUAUAACUGUAGGGCGGCCCAUUACCUGACUAGAAAGGUUGUGAAUGCACCCUUGUCCUUCCAUCGAUGUAUUGUGAUUGGAAGAGCGUCACGGCGCUGGUAAAAAACUUGCCUCAGGCUAGUCAAGGCGUAUAACAGGGUUAACAUUUCUUUAUUUUUUCAGAGCGAUAUGUAAAGUGGUCUGUGCCCGAAGUGCAGAGACUGCGGGCGAUACUGAAAGCCCGCGGUGGGCGGGUACCCAGUAUGGAUGACCUCAGAGACCUGUACAAGAGGGAGCCGUUCAACGGCCAUAAUCUGAAUGACAUAAGAUGCAAGAUGUACAAACUUAAACAGAAGGCAGAGUGAGCUGCUGGAGCGGCCGGGCCGGGCUGUUCUGGGUUGGGUCCGGACGGGACUUGGGGACCGGCGCCGCCCGCGGCGUCAAAUACAUGUGUCUGCCCGCGCCCCAAUGCCGCCCGCGGCGACAAUACAUGUGUCUGCCCGCGCCCCGAUGCCGCCCGCGGCGACAAUACAUGUGCCUGCCCGCGCCCCGAUGCCGCCCGCGACGUCAGCAGUGCUCUCUGUGGCAGCCAGUGAACAGCCGCCACAUGGCCUAUGUCAGGAUCGCUCGAGGCGCUGCAGUAGGUCCUGCUGGCCGUGUCCGGUGUUUGGUUGUCAAGCUCUGAAGCACCGUUUUUGUUGAGUUUGGUUAUCAAGCUCAGAAGUCAGAGGCACCGUUUUUGCUGCGUGAUACCGAUGGCACGGACGCAUGUACCAUGUUCGGUUGUGUCUCGUGUGCCUGGUGUAAGUCUAGUGAUUGUGUUGAUCCGAUCGAGUCUGUGCUAGGGUCCAGUGGCAGCGCCCGAUGCCGUCGGUCCAUGUGUGGUCGGCAAAGGGUGGCCAGCGGCCUAGCGUACGUCGGAGUCGUGAGCGUCAAGAUGGCGUGUGAAGUGUGUAUGGGUUGUUGUGUAUCUCGAUAACGUGUUUCCUCAUAAUGGUUUCGAUGCUGUAAGUUCUCGUAAGUCCGUUGUCAUCAGUUGUUCUCUGGUGUCCGUCCUUCCCUGUUCGGCACUGGCAGCGGUGCCCGGUGAUAGGGCUGAAUCGGGCCGGGGGCUGGGCUGUGCUGGGUUGGGUCCGGAUGGGACUCGCGGCCCGGAGCCGCCCGCGGCGUCAGUAAGUACAUACAUUGAGUUUUACAUUGAGACAGAAGCACCGUUUUUGUUGAGUGACACCGAUGGCACGGACUUGAGUACCAUGAUCCGUUGUGUGUUGUGUGCCUGGUGUAAGAUUGUGUUGAUCCGAUCGAGUCUGUGCUAGGGUCCAGUGGCAGCGCCCGAUGCCGUCGGUCCAUGUGUGGUCGGCAAAGGGUGGCCAGUCCGGCAGCUGCAUUUUUGUGUCCUUAUUGAAAUACACUGUCAGUCGUCAGAAAA